GAUGAAGAACGUAGCGAAAUGCGAUAAGUAAUGUGAAUUGCAGAAUUCAGUGAAUCAUCGAAUCUUUGAACGCACAUUGCGCCCGCCAGUAUUCUGGCGGGCAUGCCUGUUCGAGCGUCAUUUCAACCAUCAAGCCCCCGGCUUGUGUUGGGGACCUGCGGCUGCCGCAGGCCCUGAAAAGCAGUGGCGGGCUCGCUGUCACACCGAGCGUAGUAGCAUACAUCUCGCUCUGGGCGUGCUGCGGGUUCCGGCCGUUAAAAAGCCUUAUUUACCCAAGGUUGACCUCGGAUCAGGUAGGAAGACCCGCUGAACUUAAGCAUAUCAAUAAGCGGAGGA
rnacentral:misc_RNA from 1 species